GAUGAACGCUGGCGGCGUGCUUAACACAUGCAAGUCGAACGAAGCAUUUAAGACAGAUUACUUCGGUUUGAGGUCUUUUAUGACUGAGUGGCGGACGGGUGAGUAACGCGUGGGUAACCUGCCUCAUACAGGGGGAUAGCAGCUGGAAACGGCUGGUAAUACCGCAUAAGCGCACAGUACCACAUGGUACAGUGUGAAAAACUCCGGUGGUAUGAGAUGGACCCGCGUCUGAUUGGCUUGUUGGCGGGGUAACGGCCCACCAAGGCGACGAUCAGUAGCCGACCUGAGAGGGUGACCGGCCACAUUGGGACUGAGACACGGCCCAGACUCCUACGGGAGGCAGCAGUGGGGAAUAUUGCACAAUGGAGGAAACUCUGAUGCAGCGACGCCGCGUGAGUGAAGAAGUAGUUCGCUAUGUAAAGCUCUAUCAGCAGGGAAGAUAGUGACGGUACCUGACUAAGAAGCUCCGGCUAAAUACGUG
rnacentral:rRNA from 1 species